rnacentral:miRNA from 1 species
UGACCCCGCCUGCACAGAGGG